CCAGACCUAUUAACACCAAACUUCUGAGCCUGCAGUCCAGGGAUAGGAAUUAAGACAUCUCCAGGUGGUGCUGAUGCAUUCUCAACCCUAGCAACCAUUGGUUUGAGCUUCUCAAAUCCUCUCUUACCUCCAGAUUUGGCCCAGGAUUGGACAGAGAUGUUUUUUGAAUUGAAACUCGUAAGGAAAACAUCUAUAUCGUGUGAGAAAGAAUGCUGAAGCACUUUCAAGUCCCAUCUCCACGAAGGGUCCCCGGAAGAGGUGGUUUCCUCCUAGUCCUCUGGCCUUCAGCAGACUUGGCAUGCAGCCCAUCGGCCCUUCCAGUCACCUCUGGGACGAAGAUGCUCCAUCAUUGCAGGCCAAUGGCACCUUGUCCCAGGAACUCCCAAUCCAUGUCCAUGCCCUUCAGAAAUAAUGUAUAAACCCUCCAAACUAGUGAUCUCAUAGGAUCCAAGUUCCACCACAUGACCCUGUGGAGUUCUCUGGCUUCAGCUGACACCAAAGACGGCUAGCUCUGACUACAGCGGACUCUAUUAUCGAAGGUUUAGUUCACAGGAUGUGGUCUCAAAGCAUUCUUCAACAGUGUUUCCAUUUGUCAAAAACUAAUGGUGUUGAUCUGAAUAAAGCUUGGAUUAUUAGUUAAUAAUAAUGCAUCAAUAUUGAUUCCUUAGCUAUGACAAAUGUACUAUAGUAACAUAAGACGAUGACAACAGGGAAACCUGGGCGAGGGGUAUAUGGGAAUUCUCUGUACUGUCUCUGCAACUUUUCUGUAUAUUGAAAAGUCUUCUAAAAUAAAAAAGUUUAUUACAAAAAACUAAGCAAAAAUCAAAAUAUAACAAGAAAACAAAACCCUAAUGGUCCUGGGAUAAUACAUACAGAUGAAAAUAAACACUGAACUCCCACCUCAAACUUUACAUAAAAAUCAACUCCAGGUGGAUUGUAUAUUUAAAUGUAGGCCUAAAGAUUCUGGACUAUACCAUGGAAGAAGGGCUUUCUGAUAGAGGUAGAGGUUUCUUUAAUAGGAUCAAAAGGAAGGACUGAAUCACAUUAAAAUUAGGAACGUCUGUUCAUCAAGACACAGAGUAGGAGAAUAUACGUCAAACAUACAUCCACCAAUGGGUUCCUAUCCAGAAUAUUUAACGAACUCCUAAAAAUCAACCAGACAGACAACCCAAUAGAAAAAUGGCCAAAGAUCUGAAAAGGAAUUUCACAAAAGAGGCUAUCUAAAAGACUAAUAAACUCUGGUGCUCAACAUCAUCAGUUACCAGGUACAUGCAAAUUAAAGUCACAAAGAGGGACCUAUUACCCACGCACCAGAAUGGCUAAAAUUAAAAAGACCAACAAUAUUAAGUGCUAGAAAGGACGCGAAGCAACUAGAACCCUCAUACACUGCUGGAGGGAGUGUUACUCAUUACAGCCACUUUGGCAAACUCUUCAGUCUCUGUGAAAAGCUAAAUGCGUGGAUAUCCUAUGAGGCAGCAAUCCCACUCCCAGGUAUAUGCUCAAAACAAAUGCAAACAUAUAGACCAAAGGACACGCACACGAAUCUGUAAUAUCCCUGAACUGGAAACACAACAAAUGUUCAUCAACAGUCGAGUGGAUAAAUGAGUUGUGGUGUGUUCUCACACAUAAAUAUAAUACAGCAAUGAAAAUAAACUAAUGCUACCUGCAACACACAGAUGAAUCUCACCAACAUAAGGCUGACUUAAAGACACUAGACACAGAAUAAUACAUAUGGUAUGAUUCCAUUUACAUAAAGCCCCAAAAUAGGCAAAGUGAGUCUAUGGUUUUAGGAUUCAGGAUUAUGUUUACCUUGGGAGGAGGUGGGAGUGACUGGGGAAGGCAUGUGGGAGAGAGGGCAGCUGGAUGCUGGGAAAGUUCCAAAUCUUGAUCUGGGUAUAAUUACAUGAGUAUGUUCACUGUGCAAGUUCAUCCCAUUGUACACUCACGACCUGUGCCUUUUCUUUAUGCACGCUAUACUUUAAUGAAACACACCCACAAAAAUAAAGCAAAAGUAGAUGACCUGAAAGGAGAAGUCCUUAUCGGUCUGCAAAGCUCUGCAACAGAUUGGAGAGAGCAGGUGAGGUAUGGGGGCGGAGGGGGCACAGACAGGACACAGAAAGGGGAUCUGGAGGGUUUUCCACACUAAUUGGGCCUUACUACUUCAGACCAAAUAUAACCACCUCCUUUAUUUUUGUAACUAAGAAGGAGGAACUGGGCGCAAACUUUACCAGAAAAUAUAAUAAUAAUAAAAUGACUAGCCAUACUCUAAUCCCUCUAACAAAUUUUUUCCCCAAGAUUUUUCUAGCUAGAGAGGAGGUGAAGGAAAAAAUCCCUCAUAAAACCUCAAAGGGCAACCGAAAUGUAAAAGCAAUUUAAUUUCAUUUAGUUUUUACCUCUUGAUAAAUAUCUCAUUUGUUUGCUUUUAAAAUUAAGAAAAGGGAAUGCAAAGGUCUUCCCUAAGUGCAGUAUAUUAAAUCAGUAAGAACAAAAUAAGAGUAAACCUCUGUUAUGGAAAAGAGACUACCAGAGGAAAGCUGAACCAAAAGAAAAAAGGAAGCAGGGAAAGACAUAUAAAGAGGUGGAGGGCCGGCCCCGUGGCUGAGUGGUUAAGUUCACAUGCUCAGCUUCUGCGGCCCGGGGAUCGCCGGUUCAGAC